CCACCAAAGACAAAAGGCAAGCAGGAGAAAGCAGCACGACACCCCCAAAGUCCAGAGGAGAAUCACUCACCCGUCCCAGCCAUGGUUCCUGGAGGAAGGCAAGCCUUCCGCUGAGAUUAUUUUCAUUUUAUACCCCGGCUUAAAAAAAAAAAAAAAAGAGGUAACACGGCGGUGGUGGCUCAAAAAAAAAAAAAAAUCAACUCUGCCAAUCAGUUCACCCCGGAAGAGGGCAAAGUGUGGUAUGUCAUAAGAAGGGGAAGAAGCAAUUGCAUGUACACUCAGUUCCCCUGUAUGUAUUUUUUUUUUUUUUUUUUUUUUUACUCCCGGCUGUUGCCACCUCUUUGGUCAUGAGCCAUCAAUUUACGGGACAUUAUUGUGAGUUGUGAUCGUUGUGAUCAUCAGAACAGACAAAAGGUGACCGCACCCUUCUCUGUGAUGAACAGAGAGCUUCCUACUGGGAAAACAUCUGGCUUGGUUUUUUUUCCCCUAUACUGCAGCCCUCUUAAACUAUACGUAGAUAUUAUCAUUCAUCUCUCGCCGCAUGGAGACCCGCAAGGCUGUUUUCUUGACACCUGCUGGCGCCUAUGAUGGCAGCCCACAACACGAGGCAUCUGCUAAAUGAAGCAACCGCUUCUUGAGUGAUCUGAGAGCAACGUGGCGAAACCAGCACUUCCCCGUGUUCCCAGGACUGACAGAUUUUCGAGGGUGGUUUGUUUUGAUAAGGCAGAGCUUAGCGCAUGUCCUAGCAAGUCGCUUUAUGAUGGGCCUCAAAUAACAGGUUUUAUUGUCUGGGGAUAAGCAGCUCGCUAUUAAUUGCACAAGGAGUUCCUCCCAUGUUCCUGCUUCCCGGAGGAUUACUGGAAAUCCAGCUUCCACCUGAAACUUGAGGCUUGGGGAGGGACAGACAGAAGAAGGACAACCCAGGAUAGGAUGGGGAUAAAAAGGGUCCAUUACUUGGGCCCGGGUGUCACUGGGUUUCUUCCUUCUCAUUACAGCAACCUCUUUGUCGUGAGACAUUGAGUAAGAAUUCAGGGGAAUGGUACAAAAUGGAGAACUUUGCUUAAAAAAAAUGAAAUUUCAA
rnacentral:lncRNA from 1 species